UCCCAGCAAGCAAUAGCCGUCAUUUCAACGUCUGGGUUAAAUAUAGACCAGAUAUAGUCCGGCUAUGUGUAACCCACUUUUAGCCCAAAUAACAUUUAAUCUGGAUAAAUGUAUUUUUUUUGCAAAAUAACUUGUGAGAUGUAUGAUAUUCCAUCAUGUACGCAGAGUCUAACGUGAUUACAAGUUGUUUGGUUUACUUUAUUUUACAUGUUAUAUGUGUAGGCUGUGCGUAGCCACGAUUUAGCUCGUAUUCAGACCCGGUUAUUGUAGCCCACUUUUUGUCAAAACUGAUUAAUUGUAUUUUUUUGCCAGGCAGUGCAUGAAAUGGUUAAUAUUCAAUCAUGUUCGCAUUGGUAUGAUAUCAAGGCUCAAUACGUCAUUUCACGGCAUGGUAGAUCACGAUUUAGCUCCGAAUUGGACGGGCUAUAUGCGGUCUGCUUUAGCCCACCUGGCGAAAUUAUUGCAAUCUGGGCUCAGAUAUAGACCAGCGACCUAGAAUAUUAGUCUUUGAAAUGUUUUCGCUUACACAGCUUAAUAUAUAUUUUCUGUCAAACAUUCAUACACAAUCUACGAUAAAAAUAUCUAAUCAAAUGCAAUUGCAUUUCCCAACCGCUAGAUGGCACAAUUGAAACACUACUGAGACAUGUCUACUGGAACUAAUGCCAUUGCGUGACUAGAUCACUUAAGCCAAAUCUCGCGAUAAACAUUUCCGCCAUUUUAUUUUACACGAGGCAGCUGUCGGAGUGCAACGGGUGAGCAACAGUCUGAGUGAAAACCUUCAAAUUUCUACUUCGAUCUUAAGAAAGCCAUACAGGUUUGGAACCAAGUGAAAACGCAGUGAUGACCAGCUUUCCAUCAGCUAUGGAAUGUGAAAUAAAAAAUGCUAUUUCUAAUCAUUUCAAACAAGCACCAGGGAGGGCAGGGGGUGGGGGUUAUGGAUCUAAAGUAAACAGUUAAUUCUUAAAAAUUAAUUGUUUUACAUAUUUUUCCAAUGUUUUAUUUGUUCAUUUUUAUGUUUGAAUGUUGUCCAAGUUGUUGUUGUCUAUAUAAUUGUUCAAAAUAAAUCCCUUUAUAUUCAAUUAGUUUGGAUGGAUUUUAAUUUAUGAGAACCUGUUAUAUUUGAGUGAAAAGAAUCCUUAUGCCUCUUUUUGUUGUCUAUUACAUGUAUAUGUAGUGUAAUGGAUGACUAGUCUAUUCUUGGGCUAUGGUUAGACGUCUAUUAGAUUUUCACUGACAGCCCAAAAUCAGCCUUGUUUUAGCCUAGACCCAUAUUGCCUGUCUAUUAGACGUAUGUAGUUGUUUAGCGGUCUAAUUGAUGACUAGUCUAUUCUUGGGCUAUGUUUAGACGUCUAUUGGACGUAUAAAUAUAGUCGUUCAAUAGCUGUCUGAUUGUCUAUUCUUGGGCUAUGGUUAGACAUCUAUUAGACGUAUAUAUGUAGUCAUUUAAUAGCUGUCUAUUCUUGGGGUAUGUUUAGACGUCUAUUAGAUUUUCACUGACAGCCCAAAAUUAGCCUCGAUUUAGCCUAGACGUCUCGGCUGUGUUUAGACGGCUAUUAGACGUCUAUUAGACGCAAAAUUGCUUGCUGGGGUGGCACCUUCUUCUUGCCAAGUGUUACAUUAGCUGUAAUUAUGUGUAAAGGGUCUGCUCUGUGUGCUGAACACUGCGCCACAAACACUAAAAGCCAACUCAAAGUGGAAUUACAACAGCAAACCUCAUGAACCGCAGAGACCGGUGUUUAUACAGGCCUCGAGUGAGUUUCCUCAAAACCUUUUCCUUUCUCUCAACCAUGAUGAUGAAGUUACUGGAUAAUAAACCAUUAACACAUUGUUAACGCCCUGCUUUAACGGAAUAUGAGCACGCUGGCUUGUGUUGAGAAUUAUAACCGAGUUAUGUGUACAGUAUUGUACACAUACAGUAUAUUCUAAAUAUAUUGCAUUUGCAAUUUUCCAUCUCUGCUUUUUUUUUUUUAAUAAACAUAUUUAAUUGCAUUAGAAGUAAGCGUAUUUAAAUGUUACAAUUUAUCUCAUUUUGAAUUUAGUUUCUGUGUGACUUUAUAUAGGCUACCAGGACAAUCCUGCUAGCACAAGCAAAGGACUGAGACUUCAAGAUCUGUUAAUUCUCGCGAUACAACGAGGUGCGAUGUGACAUCACACACAAUUAGCCUAUGCAUAAAUUAACUCGCGAUAAUUAAUGUUGUUGAUGCCUUGAUGUUCAUACAGUUUAAUAUCCACUCAGCAGCUUGCACCAACGCACAUCCCCUAGAUGGAGGCGUAGAUCAUUGUGGGGUAGGCUAUCGAUACUUUAUUGAUCAUUUAGGGUUUAUUUUCAUAUGAGCCGUGCCUGUUAGUUAUGCAUAAUCGCAAGCAUCUAUUUUAGGAUUCAAGUAGUUGUUCAAUGCCUUGUUCAAAGGAUGCGGCGGGGUUGUGUCUUCUAUUGUUGGUAUUCCAGCCAAAAGAUGUCGCCUUUUUCCUUUAGUUCUAAAGAUGCGUGAAUAGGCAGCUCGCGUGGGGCGCGCUUGACGGGCAAAAAAUGUCCUCUCGCAUCAUCAGUGUAUCGUUGUUAUGGGAAAUCCAUUAAUACACAUUUAUGUAACAUUUCAAUCAAAUGUGCCAGGGCUUAUUAAUCGAUGCAAUUAUCUGCAAACAAUGAAAAGUACAGUAUGUGCCCAUCUGCCUCAUUAGAUAUUCGCCAUUCAUCAAUGGGCAUUUGUUAGACUCGCGCACGCACCUCAAACCUGCCUGUCACUGAGCAAUGUUAGAGCGUGUCAUGAGCUUGCUAUUUAGUCAUUCCAAUAAACUGCAAACCUUCCAAGAAAGUAAAAAAAUAAAAAAAUAAAAUAAAUAAAUAAAGAGUUUGCUUUUAUGAAAGCAAGUGUGGGUAUAGCCUACAUCAGUCGUGCACGAUUUCGGAUGCAUCCUAACAGUGUUACUGUUGUGGAAGUGAUUAUAAACUAAUUGUACUGUCUUUUUAUCAAAAUGACACUGAAAAGAUGGGAGCGCCAUUCAUCUUUUAUAGGUUAUAAGAGAACACUAGUCCAGUAGUGGCCCGAGCAAGGAGCUCUAAUGACAGUGAAUCGACAUAGAUGCAUACAGCAAACUAUAGAAAAACUGGAUUCAUGCAGCCGGGGGGCUUAAGAUAUAUUAAAUUACCAUGAUUGGGAAUUUAGGCAUGGUUGAAGCCUGUUGAAGAGGCUGGGGUGUCUGAAAGUGGUGCUAUUCAUUUCGGUAAAAGAGGGUCAGAAGGUCGGGGAAGUUCACAGGACCUGUUCCUAUUCUUAUGCUAACUUACAAUACAAACUCUAAUGCUUACUGGUUUGGAAGAUAUAAAUGAUUGGACAAUAAUCCCGGCGCUCUUGGCUUUGCUAAGCUGCUCUGUCGCUAAUUGCUGCUCGUCUGGCUCUUAAUGAAAGACUGGGCUUUUUUUCUCCCUGGAUAUUUCAGUAUUUUGGGCACCGUAUGUUAGAGGAGACCGAGGCGUGUUGCAAACACAUUUUCUACGCCUGUAAAGUGUUGUGACAUGUCUCAAACUUUGAAAUAAAAUUCCAUUAUUUGUUUAAAAUAUAGCUAUUUAUUAAAUUCUAUGUUAAAUCCAAUGGAAAACAUUAACUGUUUUUAAAAAAAUGCGCAUAAAUUUACGUGGUAGGCCUAAUCAAAAUAUGUUUUUUUAUCACUACCCAUAUUCUCUCUCUUUCUCUUUCGAACUUUCUGUUAUAUAUGAAAAAUACAAGAAACAUUUAAAUAAUAAAAAAGAGAUUAAACAACAACAACAACGCAAAUAGGCUAUACAUAAAAAAUAUGGAUCAGACGCUUUGUGUGUUUGUGUGUGUGUGUGUGUGUGUGUGUCACAACUGCGACUGUGUUAUAUAGGCUAUCUAAAUUAACAAUAACUAGGCUGCUUUUUCUGAUUAUAUUUCUAAAAACGACGUGUUCACAUGUCCAUAAACUAUAAUCCAGACGAGAAUUUGUAGUUUAGCUUCUCUCUCGUUUAAAAUCUUUUGUUUUACACAGAGCUAACAUCUAUAGUCUCAGGCGCUCAUUAUUUUAGCUGAUUUCAUAGCUGAUUUCUAAUCGGCUAUAUUUAAAAACUCUCCCUUAAUGUUAAUUUCUUUGUUUACGUUAACCAUAUGAAAAAAAAUGUUUUUCUCCCCUACGUCACGCCUAAAAUUUCUCCGUGUUUCUAAAUAGGUGAGACCUUUUAUGCCUCACUGCACAAUGGUUGCUUUUUAUCUGCUUAUGAUAUGACAAGCAGAAAAUCCGAGCAGAAUAUAUUAAUAAACACAAACGGCCAUAAAGCGCCACGUGACUUAACACCUGCAGUUAGCGCGCGCACUUUGGUGGGUCAUUUCCGGCAUUUUUAGCAUUCUAAUGCGUUCCGUUUAAUAACAAAAUAUGAAGAAUGUACAUCGGAAUUCUGAAUAGCCACAUUAGAAUACAUGCAACGGUGUCCUUUGAUGUUAUGAAAUGUUUUAAAUUACUCCACGCUUACAUUUUGUUAUCCAAGCUUAAACUGAGAUGCAUUUAAUUUGUUUUAUUUUUACCAAAAUAGCUAUUUUUAUAUAGACAUUAAGCAAAAAAUAAAUGCGUCUUUUGUCUUUAAAGCCCAAACAGAAAUAAGGCCUAAGCCUCAUUUGUCUUUGAACUACAAUUUAUAUUUUGUGAAAUUAAGUCAGAGGAAUUAAUAGUUGGACACAGAGCAAAAUCAUGUCAUCUCUUUCAUCUUAGAUCAUUCGAUUGGCCCUUUGGGAAUAACUGGACAAACCACUUGAACCUAGUACAUCACCUCUGACCCCUGUGUCAGCUGUGACUGGUCCUCAAGAGACUUGUGUUGACAUCAGCUUUAAAUAUGACACUGAAGGGCAUCAAUUAAGUCUUCUGACUGCUCGAUUGCAGACUGGUAAAGAUAAAUCUGUAAAAUAUAUAAAUACGUUUUAGAAAAUAUAUGAAUAGUAGGCCUACUCUUUGACAAAGGCAUAGCUCUAGAUGUUUGUAACUUCACUUUUUUUUUUCUUUUAGGUUAUUUUAACAAUACAUUAAGACUAAUAUGUAUGUUGCUUUAGCAUGAAUAGUGGUGUUCUUUUUGCAGAAUAACAAGACCUAUUCUUUUUCUUAAAGAGGCUUGUUUAGAGCAAAGAGCACGUGUCUGGUCAGUUAAGACUGCUUUGACCCCUUGGUCAACCAUGAUCAGUAAUACCCUAUUCUGCUGCUUAAACCUCAGAGGUCAGCUAGAAAAGCUUUUGUAAAGAUGAGAGGAGAACAUGGAGUGUGAGUAUGUGGGGACAUAUUUACCCAAAAAGUGAGCUAAACCUGACAAAAUCUCCCAAAACCUCACUUUGGGGAAGUCCUCAUUGGUAAAAAUGGAGUGAAUAUAAUUACGUUUUUUAUUAUUAUUAUUGCAAAAAUGCAGGGGAGUUUUGUAAUGUUUUUCGGGUUUUAAUGGUAGGUUAUAAAAUGUGUAACUAUCAGAAACAAUAUUUUAUGCACUGCCCAUGUCUAAGAAAACAGUGUAAGUGUGUUUUUUAUGUGCUGGCUCCAACAUAACAUUGCAAAUAAACAUUUUUAGAAUACAAAAAUAUAAAAUCUAUAUACAAAAUAAAAGUUGUUUUAAAAUCUACAACCUAAACUGUGAAAUGUAAUGUCAAGUACAAAGAGUGCCAAAACUGCUGUGGUUAAUAGAAAACAUGGAGAUUUUAAUUUAACAAAUAUAGGACAAUUUAAAGCACAACAGCAAAUAGGCUACAUUUGGGAACAAACACACUGUAAAAACAGACGUGUGUUGAGUGUGCACUGUUGUUGUCCUCAAUAUUUCUUCAUUGGAAAGUGUUACAACCUUCCUGUCCGGUCAGAUGUCAAAUGUAGAUUUUAAAAAUGUUAAUUAAAAGCGUUUGUGUAUUUCAAAUUGAACAAGAGAACCUGCUGAAUCAGAUGAUAUUAGCCCACGUGUAUUGUAAAAUUCAUUCAUCAAACUAAAUUAUAAAGGAGACGGGGAGACAUCUCGAAGUUUUUUUUUGCCUUGUAGCCUACACAUCUUCUAUAUUUUUAGACAGUGUCGUACUUUUAACUCAGUGGAGUGGUGCUCACAUAUAUGAUGCUGGUCUCACCCCUGUAGCUGAUUUCUAAUUGCAAACUAAUGGUGUUAAACUUACCCCAUGUUACAGUCUCUCUCCUACAAUAUUAACCCGACACCCGACGACUAACGAGUCUCUUCUUUCUCCACAGGCUUACCCUGAUACGAACGCUAUGUUUUUGUUAGAUUUAGAUGACUGGAAAUCGAAUAUAAAGAUUGGUUAUUGCUUACAGUAAAUGUCUGUUGAAUAGCAUAUAUGAUAGAUAUUUGUAAAGUGUUUUUAAUGAAAUAAAAUAAAUGAAUUUUGUUCUGUU